UACGUAGGGGGCAAGCGUUGGUCCGGAUUUAUUGGGCGUAAAGAGCGUGUAGGCGGCCAAGCAGGUCAGCUGUGAAAACUCGAGGCUCAACCUCGAGACGUCGGUUGAAACCGCUUGGCUAGGAGUCCGGAAGAGGAGAGUGGAAUUCCCGGUGUAGCGGUGAAAUGCGCAGAUAUCGGGAAGAACACCCGUGGCGAAGGCGGCUCUCUGGGACGGUACUGACGCUGAGACGCGAAAGCGUGGGGAGCGAACAGG
rnacentral:rRNA from 1 species